rnacentral:lncRNA from 1 species
AUGAAUCUUUUUGUUCUUUUUAGCACAUUACCAUUGGGCAGAUCUGGAUCCUGAAAAAUUCAAGAUGCUAAGUACCUACACUGCUUUAAGAAUUUGGGACUGAGACAUGAAAAGGAAGAUACAUAAGAAAUUGGGAAUCUAAAUAACACUGCAAAAAACAAAACAAAACAAAACAAAAACAGAAAAACCCCUCCAAAACCCCAAACAACAAUAACAACAAAAAAGAAAAACAACCACCCAAAAGACCCCUAGGUUUUCUAUAGUUACUGUGAUCUGAAGGCAGUGGGUGCUGCUGAUGGGAGGCAGUACGCAUGCAGAGGCACACAGCCGUGCCUCCCCCACAGAAAGGCUUCACUGGUUUCCACCAUGUCUUGGCUUGCUUUUGGAACAGGCUGGCCCAACAUCAUUGGUCAUCAAGUCCACUGUGGUGUAUUCUGCUUGUCCAUGAUGGAUCUCCAGCACAUCCAUGCUAUCUGCAUUCUUUCCAACACUAGUUCAUAAGACAGGGCCCAUGUUAUGGUAUAAGAAGAACAACCAUUAAUGAUAAUGUAUUGUGUGAAAUGUUUG